rnacentral:rRNA from 1 species
CUGCGGAGGAUCAUUACAGUAUUCUUUUUGCCAGCGCUUGAUUGCGCGGCGAAAAAACCUUACACACAGUGUUUUUUGUUAUUACAAGAACUUUUGCUUUGGUCUGGACUAGAAAUAGUUUGGGCCAGAGGUUUACUGAACUAAACUUCAAUAUUUAUAUUGAAUUGUUAUUUAUUUAAUUGUCAAUUUGUUGAUUAAAUUCAAAAAAUCUUCAAAACUUUCAACAACGGAUCUCUUGGUUCUCGCAUCGAUGAAGAACGCAGCGAAAUGCGAUAAGUAAUAUGAAUUGCAGAUUUUCGUGAAUCAUCGAAUCUUUGAACGCACAUUGCGCCCUCUGGUAUUCCAGAGGGCAUGCCUGUUUGAGCGUCAUUUCUCUCUCAAACCUUCGGGUUUGGUAUUGAGUGAUACUCUUAGUCGAACUAGGCGUUUGCUUGAAAUGUAUUGGCAUGAGUGGUACUGGAUAGUGCUAUAUGACUUUCAAUGUAUUAGGUUUAUCCAACUCGUUGAAUAGUUUAAUGGUAUAUUUCUCGGUAUUCUAGGCUCGGCCUUACAAUAUAACAAACAAGUUUGACCUCAAAUCAGGUAGGAUUACCCGCUGAACUUAA